rnacentral:lncRNA from 1 species
GGCUUCCCUUUUCGUCCACGCCCUCAGGAGCGGUAGCACUUUCCCGGAAAGUUGUGGGGCUGCGGGUCUAAAGUUUCGGGGGCUAGGGGCCGAAGGUGGCCGCCGCUCCGCCUCCCUCCGCCGCCAUUUACUGCGCCCCGGCCCGGCCUCGACGCGCCCGCACCAACACUGACAGCGGCGGCCGCGCUCCAGACCCGGAUGUGAGGCCGGGAGGAGAGAGCGCGAGAGGGAGAGAGAAACACCCACCGGGCGGCUCGGCCGCUCCCGGGAGAGGAGGCCGCAGCGCCCCCUGGUGGCAGGCGCCGGGCGCGGGGUGGCCGGCCGCCGCCGGGUGCUGGCCGCAGGAGACCCCGCGAAGAGGACCCGGGGAAGAGCCGGCGGCUCCUGAGGACCAGGGCAACUGGGGGCGGUGAACGUCCACACUCCGGCUCCCUUGCGGUGCUUACCUGUGAAAUCAAACUGGACGGAACGCAGGGGGACCCGGCACAGGUUUCCCCCUUGUGCAAGGUCAUCCCUGCGCUGGCUACUUCGCCCUAUAUCAAUAUAGAUGCUAUAAUCAGAAUAAUUUGAAAGAAAGCUACCUUCCAGAUGCCACCUGAGGUAUUCUUAUCCUAUAUGUAUUGCCAAUGGAAUCUAUUUUCAUUACUUCAC